CCUACGGGAGGCAGCAGUGAGGAAUAUUGGACAAUGGGCGCAAGCCUGAUCCAGCCAUGCCGCGUGCAGGGAGAAGCAUCUAUGGUGUGUAAACUGCUUUUGUACAGGAAGAAACACUCCCUCGUGAGGGAGCUUGACGGUACUGUAAGAAUAAGGAUCGGCUAACUCCGUGCCAGCAGCCGCGGUAAUACGGAGGAUCCAAGCGUUAUCCGGAAUCAUUGGGUUUAAAGGGUCCGUAGGCGGUUUGGUAAGUCAGUGGUGAAAGCCCAUCGCUCAACGGUGGAACGGCCAUUGAUACUGCUAGACUUGAAUUAUUGUGAAGUAACUAGAAUAUGUAGUGUAGCGGUGAAAUGCUUAGAGAUUACAUGGAAUACCAAUUGCGAAGGCAGGUUACUAACAAUAUAUUGACGCUGAUGGACGAAAGCGUGGGGAGCGAACAGGAUUAGAUACCCUGGUAGUCCACGCCGUAAACGAUGGAUACUAGCUGUUGGGAGUAAUCUCAGUGGCUAAGCGAAAGUGAUAAGUAUCCCACCUGGGGAGUACGUUCGCAAGAAUGAAACUCAAAGAUAGUACGACGNGAGAGAGCGACGACGACGACGAGGAGGGAGGAG
rnacentral:rRNA from 1 species